rnacentral:rRNA from 1 species
AGUGAACGCUGGCGGUAGGCCUAACACAUGCAAGUCGAACGGCAGCACAGUAAGAGCUUGCUCUUACGGGGUGGCGAGUGGCGGACGGGUGAGGAAUACAUCGGAAUCUACUUUUUCGUGGGGGAUAACGUAGGGAAACUUACGCUAAUACCGCAUACGACCUACGGGUGAAAGCAGGGGAUCUUCGGACCUUGCGCGAUUGAAUGAGCCGAUGUCGGAUUAGCUAGUUGGCGGGGUAAAGGCCCACCAAGGCGACGAUCCGUAGCUGGUCUGAGAGGAUGAUCAGCCACACUGGAACUGAGACACGGUCCAGACUCCUACGGGAGGCAGCAGUGGGGAAUAUUGGACAAUGGGCGCAAGCCUGAUCCAACCAUACCGCGUGGGUGAAGAAGGCCUUCGGGUUGUAAAGCCCUUUUGUUGGGAAAGAAAAGCAGCAGGUUAAUACCCCGCUGUUCUGACGGUACCCAAAGAAUAAGCACCGGCUAACUUCGUG